rnacentral:misc_RNA from 1 species
CCCUCGCGGCCGGCGCGCCGCCGGGCUUCGCCGCCCCCGCGGCGGUCCUCUCCCCUGCGGCCGGCGCUCCUGCAGGACUCGCCACCCCCGCGGCGGCCCCCUCCCCCGCAGCUGGCGCGCCACCGGGCCUCCCGGUCACCGCGGUGGCCCUCUCCCUCUCCCCUGCGGCCGGCACACCCUCCGCGGCGGCCCUCUCCCCUGCGUUCGGCGCGCCGCCGGGACUCGCAGCGCCCGUCGCGGCCUUUCCCUCUGCGGCCAGCGCGCCCUCGGCCCUCACUGCGCCCCCUGUGGCCCCUUUCCCCGCUGUCCCCGGCUCUGCACAUCCCUUCGCUGCUGCCGGAACGCCGUAGGGCCACGCCUUUGUGCUCACCGCCACGCUUCCCCCCACUGUCGAGCCACCUCCGCCCAUGCCGACCCAAACUGCAACCCUCGCGGCAGCCCCUGGCCACGACGGGUCCCCGCCGGCUCCUGCACUCUCCCUACCGGAUGCCGCCCUCCUUCGCUCCCAGCUGCUGGCGCCCGGUUUUCCUCAUGUCAC